CUCAAUACAUUAUGGAGCUACCACGAGACCUAGUUGAAUUUGUAUUAUUCAAAUUUCAAUAAUUAGAUCAUAUUUAGUUGACCCCAUACUACAUAAUCCAAUCAUUAGUUUUUAUUUUUUCAUUAAAGGAAAAAGACGACACAUUAGAAAUAUAUACAAUAUCAGAAGUCAAUAUAUACUUUUCUCUAACCUUCCUUGCAUGUAUUUUUUUCCGUUCGAAAUCCAUUAGCUUGAUACGGGCAUAAAUGAUUAUUAUACCCUUCUAAUUAUUCUCACUAAUUCAGGUACCAUUUUUCUGCAAUGGUUUUCUGAACCAAUAGCAUAUGUCGAAAUUUAGUCAUCGCAAAACACAGUGUCCAGGUUUUAAUUGCUCAACAGAAAUACUUAGACCAUCGCUUUACUCAUUUUUCAGGAUGAUGGUUCCCAACACAAAAUCAAAUUCUCUACUUAGCUCGUUUUUAAUCUCCCAAUUUAUCGAGAUAUUUGACUGAUCGAAUUUAUAAAAAAUUAUUGGUUAAUAAGAGAAUUAUUAUAAUUACAAAAAGAUAGACACAAUUGGGUUGAGCAGUGUGAAGAUGUGACUCUACAAAUGGCAUCUCAUUAGGAACUUCCAAGUAGUGUGGAUUAUCGCCUAUUUUUGGGUACAAUUCAGCUAUUUUUGGAUUUUCAACAGUUUUCAUUAUGCAAACUCAAGAUUGUUUAAAAUUGAAAAGUGAAAACUCAAGAUAGUUUAAAAUUGAAAACUGCUGAGUAUUUCAAUUGGAUCUUAUCUGAGUUUCUUUAUAUAAUUGAUCACAAGAACAAACACUAUUCAAGAUCCAGGUGUCACGAUCUUGUACAGUCUCGAACACAACAAUCCAGUCAAAUUUAUAUUUUCCUCUUCCUUGAAUUGUAAUCCAUUUUCUUCACCUACCAGUCAAACUCACUAACCCAAUAAAUUUAUAUUUUUGAAGGAACAUUAGUUUUUCAAGUGUAGCCCGCAUGGAUUAAAAAUGUGUUAAACCAAGGACAGCCUAUAGUUUCCAACGAAGGUAAUCAUCACCUUCCGCAGACAAUAAAUUAUUAAAUUCUCUCAUUGUUGCCUUUUCUUCUAACCUAUUACAUUAAAUUAAAUUGAAAAUAAGCAAAUGCAUUACCAUCUCACUAACCCAGUCAAUUUAAAUUUUCCUCACGUAACGGACAAACUCACUAGAAUAUAAACAUAUGAAGUUCACGUGCAUGACUAGAUUGAAUAUUAUUUUUGGUAAGUGUUCCAAAGUAAAUUAAUUUUUCAGGUCUUGCCGGUAUGGAUUAAAAAUCUGAUAAUCCCUCUUGCUCGUCACCUUCGGCAAUCGAUGAAUUUCCUUAUUGUUGCUUUUUCUUCUAUGGUAUAGCAGAAUUAAAUUAAAAAUAACCAAAUGCUUUAUCUUCUCACUAACCUAGUGACUACAAUUGCAAUUACAAUUACAACAUUAUAAUAAGUUUAUAAUUACAAUUACAAUUAAGUUUAUAAAUUUUAUAGUAAUUACAAUUAAGUUGAAAACUUAUAAUAAUUGUAAUUAAGACCAAUACUUUUAUAAUAAUUGCAAGUAAAUCUCAAUACAUUAUGGAGCUACCACGAGAUCUAGUUGAAUUUGUAUUAUUCAAAUUUCAAUAAUUAGAUCAUAUUUAGUUGACCCCAUACUACAUAAUCUAAUCAUUAGUUUUUAUUUUUUCAUUAAAGGAAAAAGACGACACAUUAGAAAUAUAUACAAUAUCAGAAGUCAAUAUAUACUUUUCUCUAACCUUCCUUGCAUGUAUUUUUUUUCCGUUCGAAAUCCAUUAACUUGAUACAGGCAUAAAUGAUUAUUUUACCCUUCUAAUUAUUCUCACUAAUUUAGGUACCAUUUUUCUGCAAUGGUUUUGUGAACCAAUAACAUAUGUCGAAAUUUAGUCAUAGCAAAACACAGUGUCCAGGUUUUAAUUGCUCAACAGAAAUACUUAAACAAUCACUUUACUCAUUUUUCAUGAUGAUGGUUCCCGUCACAAAAUCCAAUUCUCUACUUAGCUCGUUUUUAAUCUCUCAAUUUAUCGAGAUAUUUGACUGAUAAAAUUUAUAAAAAAAUUAUUGGUUAAUAAGAGAAUCAUUAUAAUUACAAAAAGAUAGACACAAUUGUGUUGAGUUUAGAUAAAAUACAUGAAAAUCAUGUGGAAUUGAAUUCUUUGUACUGUCAUGCUAUAGAAUUAAACUCGACACGUGAUCAUUUCAAUGCAUUCCAAGUGUAAUACACCUUUAACUAUUUUUGAAAUAAGCACAAAUCAUAAAUCUGGCUAUUGAAUUGUUCAACACUACAAUCUUUUAACACGACGUGCCUACCCUUAUAUAUUGGUUGUAAACAAUUUAUUUAUGAUCAAAAUAUAAAUUGUGUCACAUUGUUUUUCUCAAUGCAAGUAUCUAACUUAUAUUAUUUCGAGUAAUCAUAGAUACUUUAAUUCGCAUUUUCAAUAAUAAAUAAAUAUAAAAAAUAAAUAAAAUUACAAUUUAUUUUUCAUAAAAUAUUAUUUUAUCAUAGCAAAAAUUAUCAUAUGAGCGCUUAACUAGAAAAAUUCCUUGAUGCUUAAGUUAACAUAUUUCAAGCUCAGGAUUUUGAAUUUUUUUUUCAUUUUUUAAGAGAGUUUAAGAUUGCAUAUCUUUCUAGUUGGAAAUGAUUUCUUUAUGCCCCUAUUUGGUUUAAUUUAAGAUAAAGUCAACAAUUAAUUAUAACAAUAUAUUUUAUGGAAUCCACAACUUUUCAAUCACAUAUCUCAUUAACUUUUAUCAAGUUUACUGAAAAUAUAAUUUUAAUUCCAUUGAAACAUAGGCUAUACAAUGUUUUCAAGAAUUAACAACACUCAUCAUUUCAUUUACUGUCAAUCACUUUCAAUAAGCAGCAACAUUAGGAUGGCAUGUCAGAGUAAUUAUUCAUUUGGUAUAAGAAAAAACCAAGAAAUAGUUAAAAAUCAAAUGAAUAACUCACAUUGAACGCUGAAGUACGAGUGGUGUAAUUCACAUCUCGAAGCAAAAUCUUUAUCCGGACGAGGAGUGCGGCCUUCCGAGUUGUACUUUCUAAUCACAAGCUUUAUCAUCUCCUCAACACUGGAUCCUAAUUUCACCAUUGUUCGGAUUGGCCCAGGACUUCCCUCCAAUGUUACAUUAACUACAACCUUGGAGUGUUUGUUGUACCUCUACACACCAAAUUUCUCACAGAAAUUAAACAUCGUACCAUCAAUAAAAUUUCAAAUUUGUUCCUCAUUAAACAUGUUCAACUCAAUACAAUUCAAAAUAAUGAAGACUACAAUGAAGAGCUAAUAAAUAAAAAGGUGUCCCAAACAUUUCGUAGUAAAAGUAUAAGGUUAUGUUUAGGAUCCAAAUUCUUCACAUAAUAUAUACAUAUAAGAUUUUAAUUUUUUUUUUUCAUUUUUAUCAUGUUUAGUACUCCAUAUUAAACAUGUUACAAGAGUUCAAGAGUUUUAGUGCGAGUUCUCUAUGAGUGUAUGAAAAUGCAAUAUAUUGCAACCUUAUAUUAGAUGAAUUUAAACGACCAUAAUUGAAACUCCAUAGCUGAAGGAAAAGAUGCCGAGAGGAAAGUAGAGAAACGAAAUGAGUGGAUUAAAUUUAUAUGUGGGUAGAGCAUAUGUUCAAAUGGCCAUGCCAUAGGCCAAUGUGUUCACAAACUGAAUUGCAUAUGAGCACCCACUUUGAUUAACAUCUUCGUCAACAUUAUACCUGAAAUUCGUCAACAACGACGGUUUAAUUUGCAUGGCCACGUCAGCUGUUGACACAUUUUAUUUAGUCCGCAAUGGGGAAAAGAACAAUUCUACGAACAGUAAUACCAUAGAUGGAUGAUGGAUUUAAUGCUCUCAACAUAACAUUUUGUGUUCUAUCUAGGUAUAGUGGUAUUCUCUAUAAUAGAUGAAUGGAGGUUGAGUCGAAUGAUAAUACCUGCAGCUAGUGAGUUAAUGCUGCAAGAAGAUGCAGCACUGUAUUGCCUUGCUCAUCUCUAAAUCUUAUAACUGCUAUGUCGUCACUUCUAUGAACCUCUUUUAAGUUUUUGUUUCUGACUGCAAUACGCACAGCAGUUUCAUCUGAUUCCGCUGCAUAAUGCAAUGGAGUGAUUCCUUCCCUCCCUGGGACACAAACGAGGUCCGGAUUAUGUCUGACAAGCCGCUUCACAGUGGUGAUGUGUCUAUUACGCAAAGACAGGUCCAAAGAGGUGCGACCAUCAAGGUUCAAUUUCCUCCCUAGUGUAGGCUUUAGCCUCGAGAUUUCAAGAGCAAGGCUGGUCCGGGCUUUGGAAGCAGCUAUAUGGAGAGGUGUUUCUGCAAAUGGCAUCUCACUGGGGACUUCCAAUUACAGUGGAUUCUCGCAUAUUGAGCAAUGUCCAUUCAAGUUUUUUGAACUGACGCUAGUGUGUAAAUGAAAAGUGCUCGAGUAUAGAAUACUAGCAUUCUUAGUUUCUUUAUAUAGUAUAAUCUAAUGGUUUUUUUCGCCUAUAUAUGAAUUAAAAAUAUACAAAUUAUUUUUCCCGUUUCCUUCCCGUGUGAAUUUCCUCAUUCUAUGGUUCUAGUUUAUCGGGUCUUUUCA
rnacentral:lncRNA from 1 species